rnacentral:rRNA from 1 species
UACCUAAACAAAUUUAAAAAGUUAAGCUUUUAAAUAACUAUUAAAGAUAUUAUCCCCUUGUAGUGUAGUUUAAUAGCUAUCUACAUAAUAACUUAAUAUAAAGUAUAAUAGUUUAUAUUUUAUAAUAUGACGUUAACAAUUUUGUUUAAUAUUUGAAAAUGUUAGUAUUAGUAAUAUUAGUAUAUGUGCUAAAGGAACUCGGCAAAAAACCACUCAACUGUUUAUCAAAAACAUAGCUAUAUGCAUUAAUAUAUAGUUAUUUCUGCUCAAUGACUUAAAUAGCCGCAGUACUCUGACUGUGCAAAGGUAGCAUAAUCAGUUGGCUUUUAAUUAGAGUCUGGUAUGAACGAAAAUAUGGGUAGUAACUGUCUUAGCACAUUUUUUCGAACUUAUUAAACAAGUGCAAAUGCUUGUAAUUUAACAAUAGACGAGAAGACCCUAGAAACUUGGACAAGUUUUUGUUGGGGCGACAGAAUUACACUUAACUAAUCUUAUAAUACACGACGCGAUGUUGAAAGAAUAAGUUACUCUAGGGAUAACAGCAUAAUUUCAUUAGUUUGUGACCUCGAUGUUGGACUAGGUACUAUACCCUUAAGGCAAGGAUAUAUUAUGCUCUGUUCGAGCAAAAUUACCUACAUGAUCUGAG